rfam:Dipodomys ordii ctg_broad_rename0001411, whole genome shotgun sequence.
GGUAAUGUAGCUCAGUAGGAGAGCACCUGCCUAGCAUGCCUGUAGUUCUGGGUUCAAUUUCCAGCACCA